rnacentral:rRNA from 1 species
UACGUAGGGUGCAAGCGUUAAUCGGAAUUACUGGGCGUAAAGCGUGCGCAGGCGGUUGUGCAAGACAGAUGUGAAAUCCCCGGGCUCAACCUGGGAAUUGCAUUUGUGACUGCACGGCUAGAGUGUGUCAGAGGGGGGUAGAAUUCCACGUGUAGCAGUGAAAUGCGUAGAGAUGUGGAGGAACACCGAUGGCGAAGGCAGCCCCCUGGGCCAAUACUGACGCUCAGGCACGAAAGCGUGGGGAGCAAACAGG